UAGCUCAGUCAGUUGAGCGUAGCGCUAACAACGCUAAAGUCAUGGGUUUGAUUCCCGU
rnacentral:tRNA from 1 species